rnacentral:lncRNA from 1 species
AUGUUGAGUACUCAAUGAUUCUAGUUGAAAGAAAGAAAAAAGGAAGGAAGAAAGGAGGAAGAGGCAGGCACAAGACAAAAUGAAUCUCUCCGCUGUGCACAUGGAGCCUUAGCUCUGAUUCCAGUUGAGCAAAAUUAUGAAGAAGAUGAUUCCCCAUAUGGAUGACAGAUAAACACCCUGUGGCGAGUCACUCACUCCCGAAAGGCCCUCUGAAGGAUCGCGCAUGUCCUGACUGCACAGCCUGCUCCUCCACGGUCCUUUCAAAGUCACUGCCUUUGGAUGUAAGUUUCUCAGAGAGAAUGAGCCUUGUGUCCAAUGCCUGGAAAGCAACAGCAUUUGGCCACCAAGUUCCUCUUCAUCCUCAUCAAGCAGCUUUUCCUGUUUUGUUUUUAGCUCCAACCUUAGGACAAUGGACAAGUCAAUCAGUCCAGAUUACCCUGCACCAGGGAAGAGAGGCACCUGACAGCUAUACCCUUCACCAAGUCCACGGGGACAAAGGCACAAGAGUAAUAGAAGCUGCAGGGAGAAUGCAAUUCUCAUCAACCCUUGGGGUUGCCGCAUUGUUUUUGCUCUGUUUUCCAGAAAGUCUUUAACGGAGGAGAAAGGGUGUGGAGGAAGGGAGGGCCUUGCCUAUUAGCAGAUAUUUCAAUGCAGUCAUCACCCUCCCGCCAUUCAAUGUCAGGGAUCAGCCCUUGCAAAGGAGCAGUCAUUGGACAAUGGGCACAAUCAGGGCUCUGGGUUUUUCUGUCCUGCUGCACAUUCGACCCGCCUUCCUCUGCUGAAAAGGCUGCUUUUCCACUAGGCAUGCCCUAUGUAUGGAAAAAACUUCUACCUCUGGUUUGCUUUCGUUUGUACCCACCCACUGCAAACUAAAAUUGCAUGAAGCAGAGGCUAAGAUGGUUUUCCUAGUACAACGAAUAUCUGCCAACUCUAAAUAGAAAGACUUAGAUCAAUGAUGACUAGUUAAUUAAGCAAACUUGAGAAAGGGGACUAUUCAUUUAUUCCUUACCUUUCACUGAGCAGUUUAGAGGCUUUCAUUGGAAAUAUCAUUAAUCACCUGAAAUGCCUUGCAAUAAUAACUGGUAUCCCCAUUUUACAGUUUAUCAUGUACUAGGCUCUGCGGUAGGUUCUGGGAAUACAGACUUGAACCAGACAUGCUUUCAGGCCAUCUGCAGGACAAAGCAAAUGUUACAGAAGUUAAGUGACUUGCUCAAGGCCCCUUGAAGUCCAGCUUGGAAGACUAAGAACUCAACAUCCCUGUGGAUCCUGCCAGCCCUGCCAGCUUUCCCAGAGACGCCCAGCUGUUGAGCUUAAUCUCAGAGUCACUGGAACAACCACUUCAAGGUUGAAUUCGUCACCCCAAUCACAUGGGAACAUUAUCUAAUUAAGUGGCUCUGCCACUUGAGGGGCAAGGAGAGCUGAAGUCGGGUAUUGGGAAACACAGGUUGCUCUUCCAUGACAACAGGUCACACAGUUGAAAUCCCAAAACCAUGGGCAGGACCAGGUUGUGUAAAUGAGGUUCAGCUGCCCUGGCUCCCACUGCCACCCUGGCACACAAAGGUCAUCUCAUCCAUUUCCUCCAUGUCUUUGUAUUUGCUAUUCCUCAUCCCAGAAUCAUGGCCCCUUCCUUCUUCCCUGUGGAUAAUGCCUCUUUUCCCCCCAUUGCAUCUUACUUAUUAAUUACAAAAUUGUCCCUGGAUAAUUCUUACUUUGCUUUUAAGAUUCAGCUUAGAAAUGUUGUCUUUGAGUCUCAAUUUCUUCCUCUGUAUAAAGGGGACAAUAGUAGCUUCUACGACACAAAGUUGUUGCCAGGAUUAAAAAAUAGAUAAUGUGUAGAAAGCACAGUGCCCAACAUACAGAAAGUGUUUAACAAACGUUGGUUGUCACUGUCAUCAUUGUCACUCUCCUCUGUGAUCACAAACUCUGGCCAGACUUUAACCAUUGCAGUGCACCUCCUGACUGCACUGCACUUGUUUAUUCCUGUCUUCCCCAUUAGGCUCCGGGCUCUUCCAGGGAGGGGUGGGUACAUCACCAGCAUAUCUCCAGUGCCUGGCACACAGUAGGUGUUCAAUAAACCUCCUGCAUUAUCUGAAUCAACGAAUAAAUCCAUACUAAACAAUAAGCCCUCCUCCUGCGGGUCUGUAUCUCUGUGACACGUCUUCCCUGUGAAAGGCACAGGAAGAAAAUAAAGGAAGAGAACAGAAUGUUCUCGAUGCUACUC